rnacentral:sRNA from 1 species
GGAAAAGAAACUAACUAGGAUUCCCUCAGUAACGGCGAGUGAAGCGGGACUAGCUCAGGAUGUGAAUCUGCGCUGUAUGGCGCCGAAUUGUGGUCUAUAGACUUUGACGUUAUCUGCCGGGCCAAGUUCCUUGGAAAAGGACAGCUGAGAGGGUGAGACUCCCGUCCGCCUGGUAGAGUGAGUCGUUGUCAACGAGUCGAGUUGUUUGGGAUUGCAGCUCUAAUUUGGUGGUAAAUUCCAUCUAAAGCUAAAUAUUGGUGGGAGACCGAUAGCGUACAAGUACCGUGAGGGAAAGAUGCAAAGAACUUUGAAAAGAGAGUUAAAGAGUACCUGAAAUUGCUGAAACGGAAGCGAAGGAAACCAGUGUUUGUUGGUUCAUAUUUCCCUGGCCACUUGUGGUUUGGGCGCUGUGAGCUUGCGUGGGUUUGCUUUGGUUGAUCCCUUUGGAAGAGCGCAGUCAGAGUUGAUGUCUGUUGCUAGCACUGGGUUUGACUAAUGCAGACGAAAUGGUUUUCU